GAACCAACAGAACACUGAAGAACCCCAGUUUCUCAUUCUGGUUCUAAUGGGUUCUACACUGGGGUUCUUUUAAAGGUCAGACUGGUUCUAAUGGGUUCUACACUGGGGUUCUUUUAAAGGUCAGACUGGUUCUAAUGGGUUCUACACUGGGGUUCUUUUAAAGGUCAGACUGGUUCUAAUGGGUUCUACACUGGGGUUCUUUUAAAGGUCAGACUGGUUCUAAUGGGUUCUACACUGGGGUUCUUUUAAAGGUCAGACUGGUUCUAAUGGGUUCUACACUGGGGUUCUUUUAAAGGUCAGACUGGUUCUAAUGGUUCUACACUGGGGUUCUUUUAAAGGUCAGACUGGUUCUAAUGGGUUCUACACUGGGGUUCUUUUAAAGGUCAGACUGGUUCUAAUGGGUUCUACACUGGGGUUCUUUUAAAGGUCAGACUGGUUCUAAUGGGUUCUACACUGGGGUUCUUUUAAAGGUCAGACUGGUUCUAAUGGGUUCUACACUGGGGUUCUUUUAAAGGUCAGACUGGUUCUAAUGGGUUCUACACUGGGGUUCUUUUAAAGGUCAGACUGGUUCUAAUGGGUUCUACACUGGGGUUCUUUUAAAGGUCAGACUGGUUCUAAUGGGUUCUACACUGGGGUUCUUUUAAAGGUCAGACUGGUUCUAAUGGGGUUCUACUGAGUUCUAAUGGAGUCAUAUUGGUUUUAUUUGUUAUUAUUAAUAGUGUCUGUUCUACGGUGGUUCUAAUGGGUCCAAUAGGGUUCUUUUAAAAGGUCCCACUGAUGUCCA